rnacentral:lncRNA from 1 species
AUUUAUAGCCUCAUCGGAAGGAAGGGGGAGGGAGAACGGCCACUGUUGAGCGGUUAUAACCGCCUCAACAGCUUCCUUCCCGAAGCUACCACUGUUGGACCUCCAGAUGGGCCACCGACUACGUUCCAGGUUGGCCCAUCUGGACCCAAUAAUUACAUUCUUCCCUCCUUAAAAGAAAUUUCGUCCUCGAAAUUUUUACAUACCCUAAUUCUUAAACAAAUGAAGAUAUUUAGUCUUUUAUCUAAUAUUCUACUAGACUUCUGCUGCGCAACUCUGAUUGAGCCCAAUAUGUCUAAGGCUCAGUCUCAAUUUGUAUUAACUCUAACUUUCUCAUUUAAGUGAAAAGAUUCUUAAACAUAACAUCCAUGAGAAUAGCUUUCCUAAGGGAGACAUCACAUAAAGACUGGUUCAAGCAUUAUAGAGAGUUAGAACCCAAAGGAUACAAAGGGGUCGGAAGAUUUACAAUCAAUUGACACAUAGCCUUCAUGGAAUUAUCUAGAAUGAUACUUGUCACUAUUUGGUCACAAGCAUUCUACUAAAUCAAUGCAAAAGCUGAGCUCCCAAUUCCGUAGGUUCUGAGUCGUUCUUCUUUUUAUUUGGACAGUCUCGUGCCAAAU